ACCAGACUCCUACGGGAGGCAGCAGUGGGGAAUAUUGCACAAUGGGGGAAACCCUGAUGCAGCGACGCCGCGUGAGCGAAGAAGUAUUUCAGUAUGUAAAGCUCUCUCAGCAGGGAAGAAAAUGACGGUACCUGACUAAGAAGCACCGGCUAAAUACGUGCCAGCAGCCGCGGUAAUACGUAUGGUGCAAGCGUUAUCCGGAUUUACUGGGUGUAAAGGGAGCGUAGACGGCAGUGCAAGUCUGAAGUGAAAGGCCGGGGCCCAACCCCGGGAGUGCUUUGGAAACUGUGCGGCUAGAGUGUCGGAGAGGCAAGUGGAAUUCCCAGUGUAGCGGUGAAAUGCGUGGAUAUUGGGAGGAACACCAGUGGCGAAGGCGUCUUGCUGGACGGUACCUGACGCUGAGGCGCGAAAGCGUGGGUAGCGAACGGGAUUAGAUACCCGCGUAAAC
rnacentral:rRNA from 1 species